GAGUUUGUAGCUCAGUUGGUAGAGUGCCAGGUUGUGGCUCUGGAGGUCAUGGGUUCGAUCCCCAUCAAACUCCCA
rnacentral:tRNA from 1 species